UACGGGGGGAGCAAGCGUUGUUCGGAUUUACUGGGCGUAAAGGGCGCGUAGGCGGCCACCGCAAGUCGGUUGUGAAAUCUCUGGGCUUAACCCAGAAAGGUCAACCGAUACUGCGGGCUAGAGUGCAGAAGGGGCAACUGGAAUUCUCGGUGUAGCGGUGAAAUGCGUAGAUAUCGAGAGGAACACCUGCGGCGAAGGCGGGUUGCUGGGCUGACACGUGACGCUGAAGCGCGAAAGCUAGGGGAGCGAACGGG
rnacentral:rRNA from 1 species